GGAGUAAGCCCUAAAAGCCAAUAUGUUUUGAUAGAAUCUUCUUUUGUAUCAUGACUUUGAUUUAUAUAUUUAAUAUAUAUAAAAAGGCAUUUCUUUAUUAUGUUUGUUUCAAACUAAUAAAGUCCCUAGAAUAGCUAGUCUAAUUAAUGGAACAUUAAGUGUGACUUAAUAGUGAGGCUCCAUUAAACAUAAGGACACUAUUCUUAAAG
rnacentral:lncRNA from 1 species